rnacentral:rRNA from 1 species
CGUGAGUAACCUGCCCUGGAGUGGGGAAUAACAGCUGGAAACAGCUGCUAAUACCGCAUAAUGCAGUUGGGCCGCAUGGCUCUGACUGCCAAAGAUUUAUCGCUCUGGGAUGGACUCGCGUCUGAUUAGCUAGUUGGUGGGGCAACGGCCCACCAAGGCGACGAUCAGUAGCCGGCCUGAGAGGGUGAACGGCCACAUUGGGACUGAGACACGGCCCAAACUCCUACGGAAGGCAGCAG